rnacentral:rRNA from 2 species
GUUGUGCCCUUGAGGCGUGGCUUCCGGAGCUAACGCGUUAAAUCGACCGCCUGGGGAGUACGGCCGCAAGGUUAAAACUCAAAUGAAUUGACGGGGGCCCGCACAAGCGGUGGAGCAUGUGGUUUAAUUCGAUGCAACGCGAAGAACCUUACCUACUCUUGACAUCCAGAGAAUUAGCUAGAGAUAGCUGAGUGCCUUCGGGAACUCUGAGACAGGUGCUGCAUGGCUGUCGUCAGCUCGUGUUGUGAAAUGUUGGGUUAAGUCCCGCAACGAGCGCAACCCUUAUCCUUUGUUGCCAGCGAUUCGGUCGGGAACUCAAAGGAGACUGCCGGUGAUAAACCGGAGGAAGGUGGGGAUGACGUCAAGUCAUCAUGGCCCUUACGAGUAGGGCUACACACGUGCUACAAUGGCGUAUACAAAGAGAAGCGACCUCGCGAGAGCAAGCGGACCUCAUAAAGUACGUCGUAGUCCGGAUUGGAGUCUGCAACUCGACUCCAUGAAGUCGGAAUCGCUAGUAAUCGUAGAUCAGAAUGCUACGGUGAAUACGUUCCCGGGCCUUGUACACACCGCCCGUCACACCAUGGGAGUGGGUUGCAAAAGAAGUAGGUAGCUUAACCUUCGGGAGGGCGCUUACCACUUUGUGAUUCAUGACUGGGGUGAAGUCGUAACAAGGUAACCGUAGGGGAACCUGCGGUUGGAUCACCUCCUUACCAAGAAG